ACUGACCGGUGCGAGGCGGUGCUGACCGGUGCUGACCGGUGCGGACCGGUGCGGGCCGGUGCCGGCCAGUGCAGGCCAGGCCCGGCCGGGGCGAGGCAGGUGGCCGCGUCCGAGGACCGCGUCGCACAGCAGCUUCCAGGACCUGGAGAGAAAUCGAGGAAAAGUGGGCAAGUUUUGAGUUCAACCUGAGGCCUCAAGGAUGUGUGCAACCCAUGGUACUUGAAUUUACUUAUUGACUGUUUUUUUGGAAAUCCUUAUUUCCCAAAACUCGUGGAAGGAGCUGACUUCUGGCAGGAAAUGUGGAACUGGCAGCGUGUCGUGCAAGCAUCUGCAAUCCCAGUCCUGAGCUGGACUUCUCAGAGAGGCUGGGCAUUAUUUAUGGAGAUGUCGGAGUGACAAGGGGAACUUCUGGCCAGGAACUGCCGGUGGUGUCACAUCCUUAACCUGGCUGACAUCGGAACACCCUGGGGGGAGCAUUUCUCCAGGAAAGGAUGGUGGGUCAGGAGCCCGCAUGGUGUCUUUUCAAAGCAAUAAUAAAGAUAUCA
rnacentral:antisense_RNA from 1 species